rnacentral:rRNA from 1 species
UACAGAGGGGGCAAGCGUUGUUCGGAAUUACUGGGCGUAAAGGGCGCGUAGGCGGCCUUCUAAGUCGAACGUGAAAUCCCUGGGCUCAACCCAGGAACUGCGUCCGAUACUGGAAGGCUUGAAUCCGGGAGAGGGAUGUGGAAUUCCAGGUGUAGCGGUGAAAUGCGUAGAUAUCUGGAGGAACAUCGGUGGCGAAGGCGGCAUCCUGGACCGGUAUUGACGCUGAGGCGCGAAAGCCAGGGGAGCAAACGGG